rnacentral:tRNA from 1 species
UGGCUCAGAGGGAAAAGUGUCUGCCUGCAAUGCAGAAGACCUGGGUUCAAUCCCUAG